UCUAGAACUCGAGAUAUGGGCUGAACACUGAACAAUGUCUAGGCUGUAGGACAGAUUCCGACUUCUCUAUUGUUGCUACAAUUUGAACUUGAAAACGGUCAUUUUGAAUCUUGGACUCUUCAUGAAAGUUUUAGGUCUAUGUCUUAGCUUUCUACC
rfam:Populus trichocarpa scaffold_13_contig_80, whole genome shotgun sequence.